AACCACAGUGCAAAAAGGGAGGACCUGGCACGCAAAUAACCCUUCCAAUACCAAAACACGCGGAUCUAGCCGCAUCUAGGUCGGGUCAACAGGUCUGGCUCAAUAUGGCACCGUUUUGGAGCCAUUGGAACGGGCCUCAAACGGUGCCGUUUUAAGGUCUGUGUAAAGCUAAAAAAACAAACAAAAAAAAAACACAAAGGCAUUAAGCCAUUUUACAACAGAUUUGUAAACCCUAGCCUUCCUCACGCCGUUCUCAAGGUCGAAUCCCUUCGUCUCCGAUGCGCGCCCAGGUAAGGUUUCUCCUCGCCUUCUC
rnacentral:lncRNA from 1 species